GCUGGGCAUGGUGGUGCAUGCCUGUAAUUCCAGUGGCUCAGAAGGCUGAGGCAGGAGGAUCUCGAGUUCAAAGCUGGCUUCAGCAACUUAGUGAGGCCCUAAGCAACUCAGUAUUGCUGGGCAUGUGGCUUGGUGCUAAAUGAUCCUAAGUU
rnacentral:sRNA from 1 species